rnacentral:rRNA from 1 species
ACGGGUGAGUAACGCGUGAGGAUCUGCCCUUCAGUGAAGGAUACCCUUGAGAAAUUAAGGUUAAUACUGCAUACGUCCCUUUUUAACAAAAGGGAGAAAGAUGGCCUCUUGCUGUCGCUGAAAGAUGAACUUGCGUUCUAUUAGCUAGUUGGUGGGGUAAAGGCUCACCAAGGCGAUGAUGGAUAGCCGGCCUGAGAGGGUGAACGGCCACAUUGGAACUGAGAAACGGUCCAGACUCC